AUUGAACGCUGGCGGCAGGCCUAACACAUGCAAGUCGAGCGGAUGAAGGGAGCUUGCUCCUGGAUUCAGCGGCGGACGGGUGAGUAAUGCCUAGGAAUCUGCCUGGUAGUGGGGGAUAACGUCCGGAAACGGGCGCUAAUACCGCAUACGUCCUGAGGGAGAAAGUGGGGGAUCUUCGGACCUCACGCUAUCAGAUGAGCCUAGGUCGGAUUAGCUAGUUGGUGGGGUAAAGGCCUACCAAGGCGACGAUCCGUAACUGGUCUGAGAGGAUGAUCAGUCACACUGGAACUGAGACACGGUCCAGACUCCUACGGGAGGCAGCAGUGGGGAAUAUUGGACAAUGGGCGAAAGCCUGAUCCAGCCAUGCCGCGUGUGUGAAGAAGGUCUUCGGAUUGUAAAGCGCUUUAAGUUGGGAAGAAGGGCAGUGAGUUAAUACCUUGCUGUUUUGACGGUACCAACAGAAUAAGCACCGGCUAACUUCGUG
rnacentral:rRNA from 1 species